UCUGAGUUGGAAGUCGGCGGCCGAGGGUUUAUGGGACGGGAUCGAUCUUCGGUGUCUUCAGACCCUGAACUUCAAUCAAACUGAUAUACUUGGGUCCACCACUGGGCAGCCCUCAACAUUUUCCUGCUGAGAUUGGAAGCAUUGCUCCAAAAUCUGAGAGGGAAAAGCCAUCCAAAAGCCAGUGUAUUCAUCACAUGCAACUGUCACCGGGCUACAGAUCAUCUGCACUCCGUGCUCUGAGGAGACAAUCUGCUGAGACAGGGAUGCAGAGCAACAAGCUGCACGCCAAAGGGCACGGAAGAGGGGAGCAGAGUGCCGGAUGAAGGCGGGCGGGCAUCCAGCGUUGGAGUAUUGGCAGGACCGCAGCAGAUGAAGAGGAACCUGGUGAUUGCAGGAGCAUCCCAGUUGGCUGAUGUGGCUUCCGUCGAGGAUGGCUUCUCUUCCCCGGGCUGCUGGGAGCUGACUGGAAGGAGCAGGGAGCGCUGCCCCACGGCACGUGAUACAGACGUCAGCUCGGGAGUGAUUUUUCCAAACUGGAAGCCCUUUGCCUUCCAAGAGGUUGUGUUUUAGGAGCUUCCCAGCAGAGCGAGUAUUAAGAGAGGGUGUACUUAGCAGUCGAAGCCACCAGCAACAAGACUUUUCACUCUCCUGAAAAAAAAAGGGAAAAAGGUGAAUUUCCUUCCAAAGACUCCUGCACAGCACAUGCUCCAGAAAUGGGUGGUGUCGCUGGUCCUUACACUUUGUCAGUUGUAGCAGUUGGGACAUCAUCAAAAUGUGUUCCUUCCCCAUGCUUCGGUACAGCCAAAAGCAUUAGCAGCUGGGCCAGUCCUUUGUGGUAGCCUUAUGUAUCGCAGCACUGGGGGGUGUGUGUGUGUGAUUUUCUUUGGUGGUUUUUUGUUUGGUUUGUUGUGUGUUUUUUUUUGUGUGUGUUUUUUUUUGUUUGUUUGUUUGUUUGUUUUGUUUUUUUUCCCCAAAGCGCUGGCGAUUGUUGGCUGUGUUUUCUUGCAGCUGAACAGCUGGAGUUUGGCUAACUGUGGCAGAGCUGAGGGUCUGUGCUCCCUUUUGCAUUUGGGGGCUGAGAGUGGAUCCAGCUGCCCCCAGCUUCCUCUCUGAGAAGGAGUUUAGAAAGCAAGGGGAUCCAAUCUGAACCUCACGACUUGGCAGGAGGGUCUUUCCGGGCUCCUUGUUUAACAAGAAGUUGAAACCAUGUGGUGGGUUUCUUCCCUCACUGAUUUGCUGUCAUGAUUGAAACUUGAAAAAAGUUAAAAUGUUAUAAAUUAGAAAUUGCCUUGUAUUGUUUAUCGUGUAACUGUCAAGAGCUGUAGCAGAUAGUUUAUGAGGUGUGCUUCAGGAGGUAGGUAUUUGUUCC